GACGAACGCUGGCGGCGUGCUUAACACAUGCAAGUCGAACGGAAAGGCCCUGCUUUUGUGGGGUGCUCGAGUGGCGAACGGGUGAGUAACACGUGAGUAACCUGCCCUUGACUUUGGGAUAACUUCAGGAAACUGGGGCUAAUACCGGAUAGGAGCUCCUGCUGCAUGGUGGGGGUUGGAAAGUUUCGGCGGUUGGGGAUGGACUCGCGGCUUAUCAGCUUGUUGGUGGGGUAGUGGCUUACUAAGGCUUUGACGGGUAGCCGGCCUGAGAGGGUGACCGGCCACAUUGGGACUGAGAUACGGCCCAGACUCCUACGGGAGGCAGCAGUGGGGAAUAUUGCACAAUGGGCGGAAGCCUGAUGCAGCAACGCCGCGUGCGGGAUGGCGGCCUUCGGGUUGUAAACCGCUUUCGCCUGUGACGAAGCGUGAGUGACGGUAAUGGGUAAAGAAGCACCGGCUAACUACGUG
rnacentral:rRNA from 1 species